CUGCUGGGAGCGGAGCCGGGCAGCAACAGCAGCCGCUGCCGCGGGGGAACGUGCCAGCGAGCCGGGCCAGGGGCAGAGCCGCCGCCGCCGUCCCUCCCUCCCUAGGAAUCCCAAGCGGCCGGAGGGUGGAGCCGCGGCCCCCGGAGCGAGCUGCUCCCCCUGGCUGUGUGGCGCGGGGAGGGGGAAAGGCAGCGGCGGCGGCGGCAGCAGGGAGCCCGCGCUGCAAGGAGUCGCCGCCGCUUCAUCCUGCGGCACCGGGAAGCAGCGAGGAGCCCGGGCGUGCGCAGAUCUUCAGAUUCAUCCCAUGUGUAUGUGCCUUCCAGACAACGUGUGUGUGUGGCAGUGUAGAAGCCAAGAACAAAAACUGACAGAAGUUUCUAUUCUCUAAGAAAAUGAAGAGAGAGUACACAUGACUAAGCACAGGAACCUGAAAAACCACAGAACUUUUAUGAGAUUGCCUUGGAAGUCUUACAUGGGGAGUGGGAGAAAAGAUGAGCUUUGUGGGUCAUUGUUAAUGAACAGUGCAAUUGAGCCAGUAUAAUUGCUGACAUUCAAGAAGCCUAGCUGAACGGUGGAGAAAAGACUGCAGACAGGCAUUUUGAAGAGAGUAUGGUGCCUAGACCAUAAGUUUCAACCAGUGAAGGGCCACUACUUCAGUUAAGAAGCAUAAGCUUAAAUAUAGACUGGUUAUCAAGGAUCAAAGGCAGUUUUAUGUGAGACAUGUAGAAUGUCUUCGUUUCUACCAAAGGAUGAGGGCUUGAGCUGAAGUCUCUGGCAAGUGAAAAUUCCAGAUGGAAUAGACAAAGAGUAAGAAGAUGGAGGCAUAUAGGACGGAAUUGAAGCGUGUGUUUGGAGACAUACAACUAGACACCCUGGUCAAGGUAAUACUGGGACAGCUGGAGCCCCACUCAGAAGAAGAGAAAAUAAAAUGUGUAUCCAUCUCAAUUCUGUGCAUAGGUCACCAAUGCUAAUUUAAUGGGAUAGCUAUUCCAUGUGAAGGGCCCACUUGUUGUGGGAGAUGAUCAUUCCAGUGCCCAACUUGUAGUACACGUUCCUGAAGUAGGCACUAAAGCAGAAGGAAAAAUACAGCCUUCAGCCAUGACACAGCACUGAAAAGCAUUCUUACUUAAUGAACAUAUGUAAAGCUACAGCACCACCUAAAAUUUUUGACCUAGAAACAUCCUGGUAGAUAAUGGAAUGAUCAGUGAAGAAACGGAAAGUACUGAAAAGGACAAGAGGCAAGUGAUCCUGAUCAGGGAGUCCUUGGUGACAGCCUGGCAGAGCCAUACCCUCAGAACAGGGGAGAAUCUGCUCUUUUCCUUAUGUGUGUUCAAGCUUACAGAUUUGACAAACAAAGAACAAAUAGUGUCCUGGAAAAAGUCUGAGAAAUUUCCUUUUAUUGUAGCUGCUUAUUUACUAGAACUGGUCGCAAUUUUUCAACCACCAAGAUUUUUGUGAAAAAAUGGUGUUUUCUGAAAAUAGAAUUUUUUUAGCAACAUAUCGUACAUGUCUAUACAUUUUUUAAUGAAAAUGCUCACUGUCUUUUUGGUUUUGUUAAUUUUUCU